AUUAAUUUGAACUCGGUCUGCAUUUACAGGAAAAAUGAACGGGGGAAAUCGGCACAGCACGACCUACCAAACCAGCAUUUUGGACAAUCUGUGGACGGUGAAAAGGUGUCAUGUGUGAGGACUCGCCUGAGGACAGACAUCACCAACUUUUAUCAUCCAUCUGCAGACAGACAAUAGGGUUUGCUGUCAUGACAACCUGUGGACGGUGAAAAGGUGUCACGCGUGAGGACUCGCCUGAGGACAGACAUCACCAACUUUCAUCAUCCAUCUGCAGACAAGACAAUUGAGGUAGCUUCAACUGCAGUGGAUGUGAGGACAGCUUUGCAGGUUCCUGCAUCUCUAAGACUGAUCAUCCUAGGUAA